CUCGGGUCCUACGGUCACCAGACUGCGGGGCGGGCGGGCCUCAGCAUGCAGGCGCAGUAACCUCAAAACCCCGAAGCUGGAACCUUUCUUUCCUGGUAGCUGGCAACUUCACCUCUGCCCUGGGCUUGAUUUUCCUGACCACUCCUCCCCAUCUUCUUUGUCUUCAAGGUUUUCCCUGUCCCUGAACUGCUCGUUUGGUCACCUUUUGAGAGAAAAGAACACUGAUCCCAUUAAAAGGCCCUGUUGUUUGCCAGAUGAGGUCACCAGACUGGUAAGUAGCAAGGCUGGGACUCCACUAGGAAUAUCUGACUUUAAAAGCCAUGUUCCUGUCACCCAGAAUGCACAUGCUGAUGCAGCUGAACAGAAGAGGGGAGCUGAGAUGCGUCAAAAGAAGGCCUCUCUGUGGAAGGAGGAUGUGUGUCCACCCACCAAGAAGGUUUUGAUGGUCAGUGUCUGCGUAUCCAGCUGCUGGGGUGAAGAGAUUUGGAAAUCACUGAACAUUCCUGUUGGGAGCUUUCCAAGCCCUUUUGGGAACCGGCAACAGCGCUUGUCUGGGGAAAUUAGUUUUGCACUUUCACAGAGUGAGAAAUUCCUCAGGGGCAUUCUUGUUCUUAGGAAGAGAAAUCAAACCCAGCGCAUUCCUUCAGGGCCCAAGCCCGUAGUAAAGCAUACCGAGUCCAGUUCGGGUGGUCCAGUUUGGGGCCUUGGGGUGGGGCAGGCGCAGCAGAGUUCUGCGAAUUUCACCUGUGACUAAGUCCCAACCCCCGCGCCUGGCGCGAGCUUGAGAUUUCAGGGGAUCGUGUUACCAGUGUGUAAACACCUUGAGUAAUGGCCAACGCUCCCAAGCGACCAUGGAGGAUCUCAAAGCCUUCCUAUCUUCCUAGAAACCUUGGCGGCCCGGCCGGCUGCUUGCUGUCUGAUGCAACAGUUUGCAACGCGGUUCUGGGAGCCGAGCCUGCCGCGGGGCGCUGGGCGUCCUGCUCACGCGCAUGCGCGGGCUGCGGCCCGCCGGGUCGGGCGGGGGAGAAGCUUUUCACCAGAUGUGCGGGGGGCAGGGCGGACGGGGAGACCUUUGGCAGCUCGCGCCGGCGAUCUGAGCUUAAUUAAACUUCUCCCGAGGCACUGGCUGACUGAUUGACCCAGUGAUCCAAAAAAAUCACAGAGGCCCGAAUCGCCCUGAACGAGGCGGGAGAGCGAAGUUGGGGAGUUGGCUUUCGUUUUUCAGAGCUGGCUGGGGUUUUGGAUUCGGCCUUCCUUCCCCGAGCCCCGCAAUCCACAAUGCUUUCGGGGUUCCAGAGUCCAGGAGGGCGUCAGGCCUCGUUUGUGUGGGCCCUCCCACCGAUUUCUCACAGAAGGAACAACAACGGUUGUAGAGGGGAAAAGAAGGGGAAGAGAGGCAGUUUUGAUAGCAUCUAGAUCGGUAUCUUUCUUGCUUCAUUUCUCCACCCUUGCGGUGUGCCUUAGAAGGUUUUAUAAGCAGAAACGAACAUGGCAUCGUGGAUAAUUUUCCAAGUUUUUGAGCCAUUUAGGUAUUCCUCUAUGAUUUUCUUCCAUACCCACAUUCUUCCUAUAUUAUAUAAAUUGACUUCUAUUAACUUUCCUUAUUUUUAAAAUUAUCUUUAAAAUCAAUUCCCUUUUUAACAUAGCCUUGUCCUAAGCAACAUUAGGAAAACCACAGCUUUGAUGUGCUAGUCAUAUAUGUUAAUACACUUGAAAAUAAACUCAUAACUAUUCAAAUUUAAAAAUGUGUUGUUAGCUAAAAGUUUCCUGUCUACUACAUUUGAAGAAAAAUUCCAAAGGUAAUAAUAAUAGCUAACAUCUGUUGAGUGAUUGAUUGCCAAUAUCCUAAGCACUGUUCUAAGAUGCUAAGUCCUUCCUGACACCUUAGAAGGUGAGUGUUGUUUACAUUUUACAGAAGAGAAAAUAAGCCACAGAAAGGUUAAGUAACUUGCCUGAGGUCAGAGAGCCAGGAUGCAAAUUCUGCUAGCGUCACUCUAGACCUACACUCCUCGCCUUAAAAGAGGUAAAGUUACUGCUGGAGAGCACCCAGGUGGUGGGAUAGCCUGGAUAUAAACCCAAGUCUGGCUGACUGCAGAACUGAGCUUGUAGCUAAUGUGUAGGACUCUUUUUUGCCUGUUUCCCCAAAUCUCACCUCAUUCAGCCUUUUUAUCCCUGCCUCCUCGGGAAUCCAAAAGGUGCUUCCAAGCCUUUCUUUCUUCACUCCCUCACUCCCUACAUCUCCCCUCCCCCUGCCCCGAGGAUGGGACAAAGUUUCUCAUUCCAGGCGCUUUCUUCUCUGAACUUAAGUAACCCAUAAAUCUCUUAUAUCUCUGGGACUCUCUGCUUUGAAGGUCCUAUCUUGUCUCCUCCACUGACCUUGAAACUGCUUAGAAGUUCCACCUAUCAGCAUUGAAACUACAUUUCCCAGACUGCCAUGUUCCCCUGGAAAGAGAACAAAAAUCCUAUGUCAAACCAUGUGGCUCCUAUUUUGGGGUCGGAAAAUCUGGUCACUAGCUUGGAGAAAGAUUGGUAUGCCCAUAGCCUGAUUCUUCUGUCCCCAAGCAGACAUGAAUUUCCCAGGUCUCAGUGAUUGGGGGUAGGGGCAAGUUAUUUCAGCAAACAAAACCUUCAAUUAGUUUAAAUGAAGACUUGGCAUAAGAUUUCUAAAAAGUGGCUGACCCUUGCCCCAUAGAUAUAUUUUCUUUCGGCAAUAGCCCUUACUACCACCCCUUUCCUCCUUUCCCUUCCUUUUCCUUUCCCCUCCUUCCAGAUUCUUCUCUUAAUUGUACCAUCAUGUCACUGCCUUGUCCCCCCACCCCCACCUCCAUGCCCACACCCAC
ensembl:lncRNA